AAUAAUCUACAUGUAUCCGAUGAUGUAAGGCCUACAAUAAUCUACAUGUAUCCGAUGAUGUAAGGCCUACAAUAAUCUACAUGUAUCCGAUGAUGUAAGGCCUAUAAUAAUCUACAUGUAUCCGAUGAUACAAGGCCUACAAUAAUCUACAAGUAUCCAAUGAUUUGUGUUUAAAGAAUGGAAGAAGGUGGGCUAGUUCUGGAGGAUUUAUUAGGUUCUGUUCUAUACCCUAAUACUACCCUCAUAUCAUCCUUCUUAAACAGUAAUACAACUAGUUUGAGUGAAGUUUUCUUAUUCU